rnacentral:rRNA from 1 species
CUCCUACGGGAGGCAGCAGUCGGGAAUAUUGCGCAAUGGAGGAAACUCUGACGCAGUGACGCCGCGUAUAGGACGAAGGUCUUCGGAUUGUAAACUAUUGUCGUUAGGGAAGAGAAAGGACAGUACCUAAGGAGGAAGCUCCGGCUAACUACGUGCCAGCAGCCGCGGUAAUACGUAGGGAGCAAGCGUUAUCCGGAAUGAUUGGGCGUAAAGGGUACGUAGGCGGCAUGAUAAGUCUGGAGUGAAAGGCUACAGCUCAACUGUAGUAUGCUCUGGAAACUGUCAAGCUAGAGUGCAGAAGAGGGCAAUGGAACUCCAUGUGUAGCGGUAAAAUGCGUAGAUAUAUGGAAGAACACCGGUGGCGAAGGCGGUUGCCUGGUCUGAAACUGACGCUGAAGUACGAAAGCGUGGGGAGCAAAUAGGAUUAGAUACCCUAGUAGUCCACGCCGUAAACGAUGAGAACUAGGUGUUGGGGGAAUAACUCAGUGCCGCAGUUAACGCAAUAAGUUC